rnacentral:rRNA from 1 species
UACAGAGGGUGCGAGCGUUAAUCGGAAUUACUGGGCGUAAAGGGUGCGUAGGUGGUGGCAUAAGUUAGGUGUGAAAGUCCUGGGCUUAACCUGGGGAUUGCGCCUAAUACUGUGAGGCUUGAGUAUUGUAGAGGAAAGUGGAAUUUCCGGUGUAGCGGUGAAAUGCGUAGAUAUCGGAAGGAACAUCAGUGGCGAAGGCGACUUUCUGGACAAAUACUGACACUGAGGCAAGAAAGCAUGGGGAGCAAACAGG